UACAGAGGGGGCGAGCGUUGUUCGGAAUCACUGGGCUUAAAGGGCGCGUAGGCGGGCUACCAAGUCUGUGGUGAAAUCCUCCGGCUCAACCGGAGAACGGCCGUGGAUACUGGGAGCCUCGAGGGAGAUAGGGGCAGGCGGAACUGAUGGUGGAGCGGUGAAGUGCGUUGAUAUCAUCAGGAACUCCGGUGGCGAAGGCGGCCUGCUGGAUCUCAUCUGACGCUGAUGCGCGAAAGCCAGGGGAGCAAACGGG
rnacentral:rRNA from 1 species